rnacentral:rRNA from 1 species
GACGAACCGUGCGAACGUUGUUCGGAUUCACUGGGCUUAAAGGGCGCGUAGGCGGCUUGCCAAGUCAGGGGUGAAAUCUUUCGGCUUAACCGGAAAAGUGCUUCUGAUACUGGCAGGCUGGAGGGAGGUAGGGGCAGAUGGAACUUCCGGUGGAGCGGUGAAAUGCGUAGAUAUCGGAAGGAACUCCGGUGGCGAAAGCGACACGCUGGAUCUCAUCUGACGCUGAGGCGCGAAAGCCAGGGGAGCGAACGGG